GUGUCUUUUGGUAUUAAUAAAAAAAUUAAUAAAAUCUGUUCUUAUCAGUUUAAUAUCUGAUAUGUCCCCUACCCGGGGACUGCAUAUUAAAUGGAUGUUUGGAUCACGGAGCUGGAGCCGGGGUUUGUUCCGUCCAUUCCACGCAUCGGCCUGGUAUUGCAGUGUCUCCAGAAACUAAGUGCUUCCC
rnacentral:snRNA from 1 species